GAGCGGUAUCGUAAAACCUGGUGACCCUGGUCGCCAACAGGCGUCCUAGCUGCUUCUGAAAUGAAGCGGGAACCCAAAGUAGACUGAAAUCCGGGCUCAGGUGGAGCCGUUC
rnacentral:sRNA from 12 species